AGCUGCACAUGUGUAGUCAGCCGGAGUUUUUCGUGUCGUGUUGUAAAAGUUGUUAAUUUGCCGUAAAUAUCUCUUGAUUUGUACUCAAGAGUGAAGCAAGACUCCAAGGAAGAGAGAUUGACGCAUCGGGAGCGAAGAACAGAAACGAUGGAUGGUUACGCUGCUUGGGUCUCGGCACGUUCGAAUUGGCAAAGUUCCGAAUUUGUCGCUGUGUUUUGUACGCUUGUGCGCUCGUCAUUUGCCGUCAUCGCGCGGAGAUAUUUGCGCUGGAUGUGUUUCACUUCGUGUACAAAACUCUGCACGCUGCGGCAUCGAAGAAGUUGUCCUGUGUUUGGGUGCACGUAUGCGCUUGGACACGGAUAUAUCCUGCUUGCCCUCAACGGGUGUUCAACAGUCUACACGCACUCGUAACUUGCUCAUGAGGCAAGUUGCUGUUGUGCUGGAGCUGAGAAGAGGUCUGCUGCCUGCAAUGGGUCCAUCUCUCUCAAGUUAUCGCAGUAUUGUAGCUCUCAAAUGAUGUGACUUUCUCUGCACAUGUUGCAGGUUCAAAAAAGUAUGGUGGAAGCUGUUGCCAAGGUUCCGACCAGAAAAGACAGCCAGUAUAAAAGGGUCCACACCACUGAUCUCUACUACAGGGCAUGGACAGCACAUCGAGCACCCUCGACUGAAGCCAACCUUGUCCCGGAAGUUGGUGCUUCACAACUUUGCGGCAGCACUUCGUUUGCACGGCCUGUGGAGACAAGGUUUCUUAGACAUGGCCAUGGCCCUCAAGGAAUAUGCCGAGGCCACAGGCAGUUCCUCCAGUGACCGUGAAAAGGUCCCCUGGGGCACAAGUCUAAUUUGGCACCCCUACCUUUCUCCUGCAGCUUUUCUGUCUACUUAGCUAACCAGCAGCAAGUUUAUCCUUGCAAGCAUUUUGGGUCAAGAACAACUUUCACCAGGAAGAAGUGCAAGACGAGUGAUUGAAGAAAAUAAAGUUGCUUCUGUGAUAUAAGAACUUGAGGACUGAAAUGUUGCACCUUUGUGUAUAUAUGCUAUGCAGUGCAUUCAUAUCACAAAGUGCAAAGUGUUUUAUCUCUGCAGCCAUGUCAGUGUGUUGGCAAGACAAUUUUCUCAAUGGUGACCUACUGCUUUGUCUAUGAGCUGCCUUCAUGACAUUUGCAUUAAAGGCGAUGUACUAUCGUGGACAAAAGUACCCUGGAAGUGCGAGCGUUGACCAAAUUGCAUUUCUGUUCAAGACCGCUGAAAACAGUGGGUCACGUAUGCACAUUCCGAACGCAGAUGGUAGCACGGCUGAUCCCAGCAAAUAGUGCACCAUAAAAUUCGGUCGACUCUCGCACGUCCUGGGCAAUUUUGUCCUCGAUGGCACAUUCUUCGAACAAUGGAUAUGCUCUGCAAGAUGAAAUACGGGAAGCACCUGUACUUUAACGGAUAUAGUACAGAUUUAGCAUACGGAGUCUUUCGUUUUCUGAAUACGGCAAGCACCUGUAUUUUAAC